GACGAACGCUGGCGGCGUGCUUAACACAUGCAAGUCGAGCGGUAAGGCCCUUUCGGGGUACGACGAGCGGCGAACGGGUGAGUAACACGUGGGUGACCUGCCCUCAGCUCUGGGAUAAGCCUGGGAAACCGGGUCUAAUACUGGAUAUGACUCCAUGACGCAUGUUGUGGGGUGGAAAGCCUUGUGCGGCUGAGGAUGGGCCCGCGGCCUAUCAGCUUGUUGGUGGGGUGAUGGCCUACCAAGGCGACGACGGGUAGCCGGCCUGAGAGGGC
rnacentral:rRNA from 1 species